AAUCAUUAGCCUCUUAAUUAGAGGCUAGAAUGAAUGGUUCAACACUUCCUUAACUUUUUUAAAAAUUAAUAUAAAAUUUAUAUUAAAUGUAAAAAUAUAUUUAUUUAAAAAUUAGACGACAAGACCCUUUCAAACUUUACUGAAGUUUAGCUGGGGUAGCUAAAUAAUUAUAAUCUUAUUAAUAAAUACAAAACAGACCCAAUUUUAAAAUUGAUUACAUGAACAAGUUACUGAAGGGAUAACAGCAUAAUAAAUUUAUAUAGCUCUUAUUAAAAAAUUAGUUUAUGACCUCGAUGUUGAAUUAUUUUACUUCCACACGCAAGAGUAUGGAAAGAAGGUCUGUUCGACCUUUAAAUUUU
rnacentral:rRNA from 1 species